rnacentral:ncRNA from 2 species
UCGAAUAGAAGAGGCGCGAUCAACAAGAGUCGUUUCCCGGAGGUGGGCCACACCGAUGAGGGGAGAUUAAAGGGGCGAUCGCCGAAAUUCAAUCCGCUGGCCGGCGGGUUGGGUUGGGUCCUGGUUCAACAGAUCAGGGACUGUCGCAGUCAAAUAGGACUGCGGGGCGCUUUCAACGAU